rnacentral:rRNA from 1 species
AGAGUUUGAUCAUGGCUCAGAAUGAACGUUGGCGGCGUGGAUUAGGCAUGCAAGUCGAGCGAGAACCCCGCAAGGGGGGACAGCGGCAAACGGGGUAGUAAUGUGUCGGAACGUGCCCUGAGGUCGGGGAUAGCGGCGGGAAACUGCCGGUAAUACCCGAUGAUCUCGAGAGAGCAAAGGUGUGAUUCCGCCUUUGGAGCGGCCGACAUGGUAUUAGCUAGUUGGCGGGGUAACGGCCCACCAAGGCUGUGAUGCCUAGGGGAUGUGAGAGCAUGAUCCCCACCAUUGGGACUGAGACACUGCCCAGACACCUACGGGUGGCUGCAGUCGAGAAUCUUCGUCAAUGGGCGAAAGCCUGAACGAGCGACGCCGCGUGCGGGAUGAAGGCCUUUGGGUUGUAAACCGCUGUCGAGGGGGAUGAAGGCUGGAGGGUACUCCUUCCAGUUUGACAGAGCCCUGGAGGAAGCACGGGCUAAGUUCGUGCCAGCAGCGGCGGUAAUAC